GGUUAAGUUAGAAAGGGCGCACGGUGGAUGCCUUGGCACUAGGAGCCGAUGAAGGACGGGACGAACACCGAUAUGCUUCGGGGAGCUGUAAGCAAGCUUUGAUCCGGAGAUUUCCGAAUGGGGAAACCCACCACUCGUAAUGGAGUGGUAUCCAUAUCUGAAUACAUAGGAUAUGAGAAGGCAGACCCGGGGAACUGAAACAUCUAAGUACCCGGAGGAAGAGAAAGCAAAUGCGAUUCCCUGAGUAGCGGCGAGCGAAACGGGACCAGCCCAAACCAAGAGGCUUGCCUCUUGGGGUUGUAGGACACUCUGUACGGAGUUACAAAGGAACGAGGUAGAUGAAGAGGUCUGGAAAGGCCCGCCAUAGGAGGUAACAGCCCUGUAGUCAAAACUUCGUUCUCUCCUGAGUGGAUCCUGAGUACGGCGGAACACGUGAAAUUCCGUCGGAAUCCGGGAGGACCAUCUCCCAAGGCUAAAUACUCCCUAGUGACCGAUAGUGAACCAGUACCGUGAGGGAAAGGUGAAAAGCACCCCGGAAGGGGAGUGAAAGAGAUCCUGAAACCGUGUGCCUACAAGUAGUCAGAGCCCGUUAACGGGUGAUGGCGUGCCUUUUGUAGAAUGAACCGGCGAGUUACGAUCCCGUGCAAGGUUAAGCAGAAGAUGCGGAGCCGCAGCGAAAGCGAGUCUGAAUAGGGCGAAUUGAGUACGUGGUCGUAGACCCGAAACCAGGUGAUCUACCCAUGUCCAGGGUGAAGUUCAGGUAACACUGAAUGGAGGCCCGAACCCACGCACGUUGAAAAGUGCGGGGAUGAGGUGUGGGUAGGGGUGAAAUGCCAAUCGAACCUGGAGAUAGCUGGUUCUCUCCGAAAUAGCUUUAGGGCUAGCCUCAAGGUAAGAGUCUCGGAGGUAGAGCACUGAUUGGACUAGGGGCCCCUACCGGGUUACCGAAUUCAGUCAAACUCCGAAUGCCGAUGACUUAUCCUUGGGAGUCAGACUGCGAGUGAUAAGAUCCGUAGUCGAAAGGGAAACAGCCCAGACCGCCAGCUAAGGUCCCAAAGUAUACGUUAAGUGGAAAAGGAUGUGGAGUUGCUUAGACAACCAGGAUGUUGGCUUAGAAGCAGCCACCAUUUAAAGAGUGCGUAAUAGCUCACUGGUCGAGUGACUCUGCGCCGAAAAUGUACCGGGGCUAAACGUAUCACCGAAGCUGCGGACUGUUCUUCGAACAGUGGUAGGAGAGCGUUCUAAGGGCUGUGAAGCAAGACCGGAAGGACUUGUGGAGCGCUUAGAAGUGAGAAUGCCGGUAUGAGUAGCGAAAGAGGGGUGAGAAUCCCCUCCACCGAAUGCCUAAGGUUUCCUGAGGAAGGCUCGUCCGCUCAGGGUUAGUCGGGACCUAAGCCGAGGCCGAAAGGCGUAGGCGAUGGAUAACAGGUUGAUAUUCCUGUACCACCUCCUCACCAUUUGAGCAAUGGGGGGACGCAGGAGGAUAGGGUAAGCGCGGUAUUGGAUAUCCGCGUCCAAGCAGUUAGGCUGGGAAAUAGGCAAAUCCGUUUCCCGUGAAGGCUGAGCUGUGAUGGCGAGCGAAUUAUAGUAGCGAAGUUCCUGAUUCCACACUGCCAAGAAAAGCCUCUAGCGAGGUGAGAGGUGCCCGUACCGCAAACCGACACAGGUAGGCGAGGAGAGAAUCCUAAGGUGAUCGAGAGAACUCUCGUUAAGGAACUCGGCAAAAUGACCCCGUAACUUCGGGAGAAGGGGUGCUCUGUUAGGGUGCAAGCCCGAGAGAGCCGCAGUGAAUAGGCCCAGGCGACUGUUUAGCAAAAACACAGGUCUCUGCGAAGCCGUAAGGCGAAGUAUAGGGGCUGACGCCUGCCCGGUGCUGGAAGGUUAAGAGGAGCGCUUAGCGUAAGCGAAGGUGCGAAUUGAAGCCCCAGUAAACGGCGGCCGUAACUAUAACGGUCCUAAGGUAGCGAAAUUCCUUGUCGGGUAAGUUCCGACCCGCACGAAAGGCGCAACGAUCUGGGCACUGUCUCAACGAGAGACUCGGUGAAAUUAUAGUACCUGUGAAGAUGCAGGUUACCCGCGACAGGACGGAAAGACCCCGUGGAGCUUUACUGCAGCCUGAUAUUGAAUGUUGGUACAGCUUGUACAGGAUAGGUAGGAGCCUUGGAAACCGGAGCGCCAGCUUCGGUGGAGGCAUCGGUGGGAUACUACCCUGGCUGUAUUGACCUUCUAACCCGCCGCCCUUAUCGGGCGGGGAGACAGUGUCAGGUGGGCAGUUUGACUGGGGCGGUCGCCUCCUAAAAGGUAACGGAGGCGCCCAAAGGUUCCCUCAGAAUGGUUGGAAAUCAUUCGCAGAGUGUAAAGGCACAAGGGAGCUUGACUGCGAGACCUACAAGUCGAGCAGGGACGAAAGUCGGGCUUAGUGAUCCGGUGGUUCCGCAUGGAAGGGCCAUCGCUCAACGGAUAAAAGCUACCCCGGGGAUAACAGGCUUAUCUCCCCCAAGAGUCCACAUCGACGGGGAGGUUUGGCACCUCGAUGUCGGCUCAUCGCAUCCUGGGGCUGUAGUCGGUCCCAAGGGUUGGGCUGUUCGCCCAUUAAAGCGGUACGCGAGCUGGGUUCAGAACGUCGUGAGACAGUUCGGUCCCUAUCCGUCGCGGGCGCAGGAAAUUUGAGAGGAGCUGUCCUUAGUACGAGAGGACCGGGAUGGACGCACCGCUGGUGUACCAGUUGUUCUGCCAAGGGCAUCGCUGGGUAGCUAUGUGCGGACGGGAUAAGUGCUGAAAGCAUCUAAGCAUGAAGCCCCCUCAAGAUGAGAUUUCCCAUUCCGUAAGGAAGUAAGAUCCCUGAAAGAUGAUCAGGUUGAUAGGUCUGAGGUGGAAGUGUGGCGACACAUGGAGCUGACAGAUACUAAUCGAUCGAGGACUUAACCAA
rnacentral:rRNA from 1 species